UCCGAGCUCACGGGGCUCAGCUUGAGAGACAUUGAGACAUGAGAGAGAUAACAAGAAGAGUGGUUCUCAGAAUCUACCACCGAAUCGGAAUUGCGACCCUCUGAGAAGAAUUGAAGAGAAACUCAGUGGAUGACGCGGGCGAGUCGCGCCUUCCUUAUCUCUGCUAGUUGUUCCGGCGUGAACGAUGAAGGCUGGUUUGGGAGUUCGAACCUAGAAAAAUAAAACCGAUAUAAAACAUGAAA